UCCCUGGAGGACUAGUGGUUAGGCCACAGCACUCUCUGCUGCAGCCCGGGUUUGAUUCCUGGCCAGGGAA